AUUUGCAUUUUUCUUUCUUUUUCUUGCCUUUCUUUUUUUCUUUCUUUUUUCUUUUUUCUAAGACUUCCGA
rnacentral:ribozyme from 1 species